AUGACAUUGUAAGUUGCCUUACAUGUGAUCGACAAGGUGUGGACUCUGGUCAUUGCUAACGCCCCACCCUCCCAGAUACAUGGAAUUGGGAAACUGUUCAAUUCUUGGAAACUGGAAGGGAAUUUUUUGUGCAAAUAAUUUCUGAAUAAACACAUGGUGGAAGUUCAGGAUUCCCUUAUCAUCUCACCUAAAUCCAGGAGGAGAAGGAGGGAAGAAUGGAGGGAGGGAGGGAGAGAUGGAAGGCAGAUGUAUACAGGAAAGGUACCACUGAGAUCCAGAUCAAACUUACAUCACUGGAGCUGUGCGGCAGUGGUUUCAUCCACCAGUGGGCCACCCCAUUAAUCUCCCAUCUCCGCAAAAAAAAAGGCAUAAGAUGUUUACAAACCUGCAAGUGAGUUUUUCAAUUUUAAAUUUCAUUUAGUUAUGCUAUUAUCAUCCAUCCAAGGAAAUCAAAAGUGUCAUUGAAG